rnacentral:rRNA from 1 species
UUGUACAGCAAUGCCACUUUAGACGCAUCUGAUCCCGUCUGAUCUGGGAAGCUAAGCAGGAUCGAGCAGAAUUAUUGUUUCAGAUGGGAGUCCAACAGAUACUCCUACGUGUUAUGAGGC